ACUGAAUACAUAGGUUAACAGAGCAAACCGGGGGAACUGAAACAUCUAAGUACCCCGAGGAGAAGAAAUCAACCGAGAUUCCGGUAGUAGCGGCGAGCGAACCUGGAUUAGCCCUUAAGCACUCGGUGAAGUAGGUGAACAAGCUGGAAAGCUUGGCGAUACAGGGUGAUAGCCCCGUAACCGACGCUUCAUCGAGCGUGAAAUCGAGUAGGGCGGGACACGUGAUAUCCUGUCUGAAUAUGGGGGGACCAUCCUCCAAGGCUAAAUACUCCUGACUGACCGAUAGUGAACCAGUACCGUGAGGGAAAGGCGAAAAGAACCCCUGUGAGGGGAGUGAAAUAGAACCUGAAACCGUGUACGUACAAGCAGUAGGAGCACCUUCGUGGUGUGACUGCGUACCUUUUGUAUAAUGGGUCAGCGACUUAUAUUCAGUGGCAAGGUUAACCGUAUAGGGGAGCCGUAGCGAAAGCGAGUCUUAACUGGGCGCUCAGUCUCUGGAUAUAGACCCGAAACCGGGUGAUCUAGCCAUGGGCAGGUUGAAGGUUGAGUAACAUCAACUGGAGGACCGAACCGACUAAUGUUGAAAAAUUAGCGGAUGACUUGUGGCUAGGGGUGAAAGGCCAAUCAAACUCGGAGAUAGCUGGUUCUCCCCGAAAGCUAUUUAGGUAGCGCCUCGGACGAAUACUACUGGGGGUAGAGCACUGUUAAGGCUAGGGGGUCAUCCCGACUUACCAACCCUUUGCAAACUCCGAAUACCAGUAAGUACUAUCCGGGAGACACACGGCGGGUGCUAACGUCCGUCGUGGAGAGGGAAACAACCCAGACCGCCAGCUAAGGUCCCAAAGUAUUGCUAAGUGGGAAACGAUGUGGGAAGGCUCAGACAGCUAGGAUGUUGGCUUAGAAGCAGCCAUCAUUUAAAGAAAGCGUAAUAGCUCACUAGUCGAGUCGGCCUGCGCGGAAGAUGUAACGGGGCUAAGCAAUACACCGAAGCUGCGGCAAUAUCUUUUAGAUAUUGGGUAGGGGAGCGUUCUGUAAGCCGUUGAAGGUGAAUCGUAAGGUUUGCUGGAGGUAUCAGAAGUGCGAAUGCUGACAUGAGUAACGACAAAGGGGGUGAAAAACCUCCUCGCCGGAAGACCAAGGGUUCCUGUCCAACGUUAAUCGGGGCAGGGUGAGUCGACCCCUAAGGUGAGGCCGAAAGGCGUAAUCGAUGGGAAACGGGUUAAUAUUCCCGUACUUCUGACUAUUGCGAUGGGGGGACGGAGAAGGCUAGGUGGGCCAGGCGACGGUUGUCCUGGUUCAAGUGCGUAGGCUUGAGAGUUAGGUAAAUCCGGCUCUCUCUAAGGCUGAGACACGACGUCGAGCUGCUACGGCAGUGAAGUCAUUGAUGCCAUGCUUCCAGGAAA
rnacentral:rRNA from 1 species